CUACGGGUGGCUCCAGUGGGGAAUAUUGGACAAUGGGGGAAACCCUGAUCCAGCAAUGCCGCGUGUGUGAAGAAGGCCUGCGGGUUGUAAAGCACUUUCGGUUGGGAGGACUGCUUCUAGCACUAAUAUUGUUGGAAGUUGACGUUACCUUCAGAAGAAGCACCGGCUAACUCCGUGCCAGCAGCCGCGGUAAUACGGAGGGUGCCAGCGUUAAUCGGAAGUACUGGGCGUAAAGCGCGCGUAGGCGGCUAGAUCAGUCGGGUGUGAAAGCCCCGGGCUUAACCUGGGAACUGCAUCCGAUACUGUCUAGCUUGAGUACAGGAGAGGAGAGUGGAAUUCCACAUGUAGCGGUGAAAUGCGUAGAUAUGUGGAGGAACACCAAUGGCGAAGGCAGCUCUCUGGCCUGAUACUGACGCUGAGGUGCGAAAGCGUGGGGAGCAAACAGGAUUAGAUACCCCCGUAGUC
rnacentral:rRNA from 1 species